rnacentral:rRNA from 1 species
AGUAGUUUGAUCCGUGGCUCAGGACGAACGCUGGCGGCGUGCCUAACACAUGCAAGUCGAACGGGGGUUUUGCUUCGGUAGAACCCUAGUGGCGAACGGGUGAGUAACGCGUAGGCAACCUGCCCUUCAGACGGGGACAACAUCCCGAAAGGGGUGCUAAUACCGCAUAACGUAUCUUUAUCGCAUGGUAGGGAUACCAAAGAUUUAUCGCUCUGAGAUGGCCUCGCGUCUGAUUAGGUAGUUGGUGGGGUAACGGCCCACCAAGCCGACGAUCAGUAGCCGGACUGAGAGGUUGAACGGCCACAUUGGGACUGAGAUACGGCCCAGACUCC